AUCUUUAAUUGAAACCUGUACACACAACUAAAAUAUUAAAAGUUAUGAGCUCGAAAUUUUAAGGAUUUGGCGGUAAUUUAACCAAUUAGAGGAACCUGUUUGAUAAACGAUAAACCACGAAGUAUCUUACCUAUUUUUAAUUUGUAUACCGUCAUUAUAAAAUAACUCUAAAAAGAAAAGUUAUUGAAAGAAAUAAACUCUUAAUAUAUUAGAUCAAGGUGCAGUCAAUAAAUAGGCCUAAAUGGGUUACAAUAAAACUUACUUAUACGGAUAAAAUUCUUAAAAGAACUUUUAAAGGAGGAUUUAACAGUAAUUUUAGUUUAAUAUGCUAAAAUGACAAAGGAUCUAAAUUAAGUACAUAUCGCCCGUCACUUUCAUCUAAAAAUGAAAUAAGUCGUAACAUAG
rnacentral:rRNA from 1 species